UACGUAGGAGGCAAGCGUUGUCCGGAAUUACUGGGCGUAAAGCGCGUGUAGGUGGUGGGACAAGUCUGCUGUGAAAGCGCCUGGCUUAACCGGGCGAGGUCGGCGGAAACUGUCCGACUCGAGGACGGUAGAGGGGGGUGGAAUUCCCGGUGUAGUGGUGAAAUGCGCAGAUAUCAGGAGGAACACCGGUGGCGAAGGCGGGUCUCUGGGCCGAUAUUGACGCUGAGGAGCGAAAGCGUGGGGAGCGAACAGG
rnacentral:rRNA from 1 species